rnacentral:rRNA from 1 species
AGAGUUUGAUCCUGGCUCAGGAUGAACGCUAGCGGCAGGCCUAACACAUGCAAGUCGAGGGGCAGCGGGAGUGCUUGCACUCGCCGGCGACCGGCGCACGGGUGCGGAACGCGUAUCGAAUCUGCCUCUAUCUGGGGGAUACCCCAUGGAAACGUGGAAUAAUACCCCAUAGUAUUACUUUAUCGCAUGAUUUAGUAAUUAAAGAAUUUCGGAUAGAGAUGACGAUGCGUAUCAUUAGCUAGUAGGUAAGGUAACGGCUUACCUAGGCAACGAUGAUUAGGGGUCCUGAGAGGGAGAUCCCCCACACUGGUACUGAGACACGGACCAGACUCCUACGGGAGGCAGCAGUGAGGAAUAUUGGACAAUGGUCGAAAGACUGAUCCAGCCAUGCCGCGUGCAGGAUGACUGCCCUAUGGGUUGUAAACUGCUUUUAUACGGGAAGAAAAACACCUACGUGUAGGUGACUGACGGUACCGUAAGAAUAAGGACCGGCUAACUCCGUGCCAGCAGCCGCGGUAAUACGGAGGGUCCAAGCGUUAUCCGGAAUCAUUGGGUUUAAAGGGUCCGUAGGCGGGCUAUUAAGUCAGAGGUGAAAGUUUGCAGCUCAACUGUAAAAUUGCCUUUGAUACUGAUAGUCUUGAAUUGUAGUGAAGUGGUUAGAAUAUGUGGUGUAGCGGUGAAAUGCAUAGAUAUCACAUAGAAUACCGAUUGCGAAGGCAGAUCACUAACUAUAUAUUGACGCUGAGGGACGAAAGCGUGGGGAGCGAACGGGAUUAGAUACCCCGGUAGUCCACGCCGUAAACGAUGGAUACUAGCUGUUGGAUUUUUUCAGUGGCUAAGCGAAAGUGAUAAGUAUCCCACCUGGGGAGUACGUUCGCAAGAAUGAAACUCAAAGGAAUUGACGG